rnacentral:rRNA from 1 species
CAGAGGGUGCGAGCGUUGUCCGGAAUCACUGGGCGUAAAGGGCGCGUAGGCGGCUUUUCAAGCGUGCGGUGAAAGCUCGGGGCUUAACUCCGAGUCUGCCGUGCGAACUGGGAGGCUUGAGUCUGGUAGAGGUCGAUGGAAUUCCGGGUGUAGCGGUGGAAUGCGUAGAGAUCCGGAAGAACACCGGUGGCGAAGGCGGUCGACUGGGCCAGAACUGACGCUGAGGCGCGACAGCGUGGGGAGCAAACAGGAUUAGAUACCCUGGUAGUCCACGCCGUAAACGAUGGGCACUAGGUCCUUGGGGGAGCGACCCCCUGAGGGCCGGCGCUAACGCAUUAAGUGCCCCGCCUGGGGAGUACGGCCGCAAGGCUG